rnacentral:tRNA from 1 species
GGCCGGGUGGCAGAGUGGCUAUGCAGAGGACUGCAAAUCCUUGCACAUCGGUUCGAUUCCGGUCUCGGCCUCCA